rnacentral:snRNA from 1 species
GUGCUUGCUUCAGCAGCACAUAUGCUAAAAUUGAAAUGAUACAGAGAAGAUGAGCAUGGCCCCUGCACAAGGAUGACAUGCAAAUUCAUGAAAUGUUCCAUAUUUUU